GAUUUGAGGAUGUGGAAGAUCCUAUGAUUCCUCAUGCAAUGUUAUUUUUAAAGUUCCUGGCCGGGAUGUCAUUCUGAGAGAACGCCUGUUCGCCUCAGCUGAACAUGGAUAGUUUCCCAUCCUUUCCUCUGGUCUGAGUUUUGAUUUGCUUCGGUGCUGGUUCUGACCUUUUGUCCUGCCUGUGAGAGCAGGGCUCCCAGCUCUUCGCGAUGUCCAUCUCCGGCUCUGUAUUGAGAUCCCUGCUCUGUUCCUGCUAGGUGGAGAAAGCAGUACUCACAAUAAAUCUUACCCAGACUUACAAUUAAAUAAAAGUAUCAGAACAUCUGGGUUUGUAAUGUUCAAGCCAGGAGAAUUUUAUUGGAAACAAGGGAGCAAUACAAAAACUGAUUUGAAUAACCAACCUGCUUCAGUGUGAAAAAAAUUAAUGUGAAGUACUGGAGAAGUGGUGUUGAAUAUAUGCUCCGUCUUUUGUAAGUUAACUAAUUACACUGUUCAAAACUGUUUACAAACAGUUCAGUUGAGGUCAGUUCAGUCGCUCAGUCAUGUCUGACUCUGCGACCCCAUGAAAUUGCAGCACGCCAGGCCUCCCUGUCCAUCAACUGCCAGACUUCACCCAAAC
rnacentral:lncRNA from 1 species